rnacentral:sRNA from 1 species
UAAAGAGUCUUGUCGUUGUUACCAUCAGAGCACCUGUACAAACAGCUCAACAAUAAGUUAGGUAUUUAUUACUGUUACAGUUGGGUUAAAAAAAAACACAUUUCCUUGUUUCAAACAGAAAAAAAAAGACAAAACGAUGCUAAGCGUUCUAUUGUUGUGUUUUUGUCUAAUGGUUGGUUCAUCUGAGCUACUACCAGGUCGAUCAAAAGAAGACAAAGUAGAGAGCCCGUCGGGAAACCUUCGUCACGAGAGUCUGAAGACUUCCACUAACGCUAAAGAGAUUGUAGAACCCGAGCCGAGUGGUUCUUAUGUCUUCCCUGGUGGCUCCGAGGAAAUUUUUAAGACCAAAGAAAAAGCGAAUAAUACUAAAAAAGUCAAAAAAGUGAAUAAGCUUUCGAUGGAACAGCUCAGACUAGGCAGAGGCGUCUCUAACAAAGACAUUGUAAUCAAUUAAGAAGACAACGCUGAGGAUCAGUAAAUGACUAGGCGCCAGUUUGGACGAUGAGUUUUUUUGUUUUUUUUUCUGUAGAUUCAAAAUAAAAAAAUAAUUUAAAAAAAA